UACGAAGGGUGCAAGCGUUAAGCGGAAUUACUGGGCGUAAAGGGUGCGUAGGCGGUUCGUUAAGUCUGUUGUGAAAUCCCCGGGCUCAACCUGGGAAUGGCAAUGGAUACUGGCGGGCUAGAGUGUGUCAGAGGAUGGUGGAAUUCCCGGUGUAGCGGUGAAAUGCGUAGAGAUCGGGAGGAACAUCAGUGGCGAAGGCGGCCAUCUGGGACAACACUGACGCUGAAGCACGAAAGCGUGGGGAGCAAACAGG
rnacentral:rRNA from 1 species